UGGAUCGGGGGAGGGGGAGGCGCGGGGAGCUCGCCGCGGCUCCUCACUGGGGCAGGGGAGAAGAUGCCCCCCACCCCUCUAGUUCGGCCUCUCCAUUCAAGUUCCCCGGACCCGGCCGCCUGGAUCCGGGGAUGGCAACAGCCGCCUGCCCGGCUCUGCGCCCUUUUUCCAGCCACCGCGCAGAAAUUUAGGUCAAGGACGUCGGGAUCAAAUCCAAACCCUGGCGCUCCUCGGGCAGCCGCCGAGACCCCUCAGGAUCGCGGGGCUUCAGGAUUGCGGAGACUCUCCCGCACAAACACCAGCCACAAGUUUUAUUUUCCUUUCGCGCUGGAAGUUCUCUCUGGCUCUCGCUCCGCACCGGCACGUCUUGCGCGGCUCCCCGCCCUUCCCCGGCAGAGGAUUAGGAUACAGUGGAAUACACUCAACACCAAAACUGCACCAAAUCCACUGUGGGUCUUUGAAAAAUAGACUAUUUGGAAAAUACCAACAUCAGCCAAACCCGGGAAGCCGGCUUUCAUGCCGUCAAGAUGCACAAGUAGCCUGCUGGAGAGGCCCACGUGGAGAAGAAUUGCAGUUUCCUGUCAGCAGCCCGAACUAACCUGCCAGGAUUGUGAGACAUCUUAAGGGUGCAUCUGCCAGCCCCAGCCAUGCCUUCAGAGGACAGCUACCCCAGCUCACGUCUCAACAACUUCCCGAGAGACCUGGAGCCAGAACCUCCCAGCUAAGCCACUCCCAAUUCCUGACCCUCAGAUACUGGGUGAGACAUUAAAUACUUGUUUGAAGCUA